GCGCCACCGCGCCUGCGGCUGAACGGUAGCCACAGCAGCGGCGGCAGUAGCAGCAGCGGCAGCGGUCUCUUCCCGAACGUCGGCCCCACAGGUGCCCGAAAGCCGGCACAGGCGUGUAGAGAACAUGGCAGACGACGUUGAUACUGAAGCAAUGCUUGAGGCUCCUUACAAAAAGGGUACACUUGAUCCUCUCUGAAGACCCUCAAAGCAAAAUGAUUUUGCAUUCCAUUCCCUGGAUUUGAGCCCCAGCCAAGAGUGGCUCUACCAUGCUUCCAGAUGAGAACCAGAGUCAGACUUUAUCACUCACUCAUUUACCCAUCCAGCUGAUGUCUACUAAGUGCCGCUGUGCGCCUAAUGUGGGAACAGCUACAGAAAUUCCUUGGAGAAGCAGAAGACAGCACUUGAUAACCGGGUUUAUCAGACUGCUGAAGGUCUGCAGCUGGGAGACAAACACACUGUGGCUGGUGGGCUGAAUGACUGACAUCUCUCUUCUCCCACCUAGGUCCAAGUUCUGUUCCAGUUGGGCUCCACAUGCACUUUGCACUGCCUGGAACCGUGUCUGGCACACAGCAGACAAAAUAAUGCACAAACACGGCAAGCCUAGAGAAGAACAUUGUUUUCACAUUCAUACAGACAUGGCUAUCCCAUGGAGGGUAAGUGCAAUUUCACAUGAAUUUUUAAGAUGAACCUUCAGGGCAAAUUGCCUCAGUGGGUAUGUUUGUAGAACAUGGUCACUCUUCUGGGAGAGCUUAUGGGACACCAGCACCAGACCAAACCAGUAAAGAAAAAGUGGCUCCACUCCACCCCCAUUAUCUCACUGCUGGGCACCCCUCUGGCCAGCCCAUCUGCUUCCUAUGGGGAUGUUGGGAACUGUGGAGGCCAGAACCAGAUUGGGCGUCCAGGCACACAUGACCCCACCAGCAGUCCUGCCCUGACCCUCUCGGUUGAGCUGGGAAAGAUUGGAAUUUCCUGAAGGUUUUCUAGAGAAGUGAAAUUAAGAAGAGAGAGAACAGCUGGCCCCAGAACCCUAACCAGUACAGGAACUAUCUUUAGCCUGGAGAGACCUGGUUGGGGCAGAUGACAUCUCGUGAGACAAAAGUCAGCUCUGAGCUUGCAGAGCAUGAGGGAGGCUGUUGGGGGGACAGGGAAGAAAUGUGUUGUUUUUGCCACUGAAAGGAAUGGAGAGAAAUCUGGGGAUGAUGGGGAGAGGGAACCAAAGAGAUGGGAAGGUCAGGAUGAAAUGAAAUCUAGCCUGGAAGGGUCACCAAAGAACGUUUCCUGAAAGGCGAUGUCUGUGUUCUGGAUGCAUUUCUACAAAGAAAUCCCUCCUCUGUCUCUUGGUCACUCCCUCCUCAUCACCUACCCCUAAACCUCCAAAAAAGUCUGAACUCACCGUGAUUCCAGUGUACAUAGAAAUCAAGCAAGAGGCUUAAUUUUACAGCUGGAUCAAGCAUGCCCAAGAGACAGACAAGCAGAAAGAAUCCUCAGAGAGAAGACAUCAAAGCGUGUUUGAAAGACAAACACAACCUCCUCCACCAGCACUUCCUUCUUUGCCUGGAGGCUUGCAGACAUCUUAGGGACAGCUUUAAGCCACCAGGCACCAUGAAAACAAAAGGGUUUUGUCUAUUUUAACCUAGAUCUAAAAGAAGGAAAGGCCACAGAUGGAAACCCAAAGCCCAAGCAUGAAAAGAGAAAAGGAUAAAAGGGAUAAACGAAUAGAGCACAGUUAUUUUUGUAUUAAUUAACUUAGGGCUGUCUUAGACACACAGACCCUGCUUCCUUUCCUGUCCCGGUCUUGAGCUAAUGCGCUGAUUCAUCACAAAGGCUUGGGCAAAGCUCGGUCUCCACCCUUGGCUCCAGACCUGCAUCUGGCCCAGUGCCAUAGCCACUCUGACGGCAGGUCCAGCCAAGCUCCCACCCCGCCUCCCUAUGCCAGCUCCCCUCUGUUGGCAGCAGUCUCCAUUCUCUGACAGGCUCAUCCCCCUGCAACCCCAACCCCAGCUGACCUUCCAGGAAGCUCCAGUUCCAGUUCUUCUUUUUUUU